rnacentral:rRNA from 1 species
UGGGGAAUCUUGGACAAUGGGGGCAACCCUGAUCCAGCGACGCCGCGUGGGUGGUAAGGCCUUCGGGUUGUAAAGCCCUUUCACCGGGGAAGAUGAUGACAUUACCCGGAGAAGAAGCGCCGGCUAACUCCGUGCCAGCAGCCGCGGUAAGACGGAGGGCGCUAGCGUUGUUCGGAAUCACUGGGCGUAAAGGGCGCGUAGGCGGCUGUUUAAGUCGAGGGUGAAAGCCCGGGGCUCAACCCCGGAACGGCCUUCGAGACUGGGCAGCUCGAGACCGGAAGAGGAGGGUGGAAUACCCAGUGUAGUGGUGAAAUGCGUAGAGAUCGGCAGGAACACCCAGGGGGAAACCAGCAUACUGGACAGGUCCUGACACUCAGGUGCGACAGCGUGGGGAGCGAACCGGAUUAGAUACCCGUGUAGUCC